GUAACGGGGUGUUAGGGCACGACACCGGAGAGGGAGCCUGAGAAACGGCUACCACAUCCAAGGAUGGCAGCAGGCGCGCAAAUUACCCAAUCCCGACACGGGGAGGUAGUGACAAUAAAUAACAAUACGGGGUUCUUUCGGAUUUCGUAAUUGGAAUGAGUACAAUUUAAAUCUCUUAACGAGGAACAAUUGGAGGGCAAGUCUGGUGCCAGCAGCCGCGGUAAUUCCAGCUCCAAUAGCGUAUAUUAAAGUUGCUGCAGUUAAAAAGCUCGUAGUUGAAUUUCGGGACCAUCAUGUCGGUCGUGCCUCGGUACGUACUGGCAUUGUUGGUUUCUCCCUUCUGACGAACCAUGAUGUCAUUUAUUUGGUGUUGUGGGGAAUCAGGACUGUUACUUUGAAAAAAUUAGAGUGUUUAAAGCAGGCUCACGCUUGAAUACAUUAGCAUGGAAUAAUGAAAUAGGACGUUUGAUUCUAUUUUGUUGGUUUCUAGGAUCGACGUAAUGAUUAAUAGGGAUAGUUGGGGGCAUUAGUAUUCAAUUGUCAGAGGUGAAAUUCUUGGAUUUAUUGAAGACUAACUACUGCGAAAGCAUUUGCCAAGGAUGUUUUCAUUAAUCAAGAACGAAAGUUAGGGGAUCGAAGACGAUCAGAUACC
rnacentral:rRNA from 1 species